GGGGGGAAGAGAGAGAAGAACAAUAGAGCUGAGGCGGGGACCAGAGAAAGGAAAUGGAUGUGCAGCAGGGAAAGAGUGGAAGCCAGCAGAAGGAGGAAGAUAGUGUGGCCUCUGGAGGAAGGAGCACCGACGCAAUUAACAAGGAAGGAUGGUAGAAUUUGAACAUGCAGCAGUAUCCAGCUUUUCAGCAACAUCUAACGGCUUCUCAGACCAACUGCAACAGGCCUGAGGGACCCUGUGAAACACAGUCAGCAGCUUCUGCAGUGCAGAGGCAUUGGCUACCAUAAUAGAGAACCCCUACAGCCCAGAAUACAAACCAAUGGUAGCCAAGGAUUCUGUGGUAUAGCAGUCUUUCAGCAGCUCACUUAAUGGGGGCUCAACAUCACCAACGUCUAACAACUGGUUAAUGUUGAUUGUUGUACUAAAAUGUAUGUUUUGGGUGGUGGGUUUUUAAAGGCGGAGGGAGGCACACCAGAGGAAAGAGCAUUAAAACUAUAAAGAAUUGGUUGUAGGAGACUUUUGGAAAAGGCAGAAGGGGUAUCAACACAAGAUGAGUAGGGAUGAAAGUAAAAUUUAGGAACAGCAGCAGGCGAUAUGUUUACAUGUGCAAUUUCACCUUUGCAUGGACAUUUAGUCUCCAAACUGGAAAGAUACUGAAUUAUAUACACCAAAGUCCGGCUAGAAACGUUGCCCAAAUCCAUAGACAAUUAGACAAUAACAAACAUGCUAAUAUCGGUCACAACAAUAUUGAUACAGUAUAUAUCAAUAUUGUUACGCUGUUACACCAGACAAAAGACUAUUUUCUUGGCAGUGUUUGAGUAUGGAAUAAUCAAUUCUACCAAGAAAAUCAUUCUACCAGCAAUACAGAUGAAUUUCUGGUAGAAUGGAGGACUUUUUAUCAGACCCCCUCCCCCAGCCAUUUCAAACUUAGUCUGUUCCCCUUUGGGUUUGAUUAAAAGAAAAAACUGGGUAAAGUUAGAAUGAUUCAACACCUGGCAUAUAAAUAAGUAAAUGAUGCUCAGGAUGAAGAAUAAUGUUCAGUGUCUUUUUAGAUUUUAAAUAUUCAGACAAACAGACCCAGGGGCAUUAAAGGCAAAAGCAGACAUAGAAUCUUAAUUCAAUUUGUUGCUAUUACACAUACAUAGCUUUUAUCUUAAUGGUUGUAAAAUAUAAGGCCCAUGGGUUGGGCAAUACUAUGCUCCUAAUUUGAGACUUUCAAUUCCUUUAUUUGUGGUGCCUGGAAGAUAGAGCUGGAGGGAGGGAAAUGCUUGAGGAACUCCUUAGAGGACAUGAAAAAACAAUUGGGUCCUGAGAAGUAACAUUAAAGCCCAGGCCAACCAUGCAGGAGAAGUUUAUCAAAACACUUAUUACUGUGAAAUAUGUAUUAAAAGCAAAUAGGGUCGCACUAUGAGACAUGCAGUCUCUUGAACUUAAGGUACUGCAAUAAAAUACAUUUUUUUAUCAAAUAUUAACUACAGUAUCUGGAAGGACAGGGCCAAGCCAAGAACUGAAGUUGUUCACAGAUGCAUCAGGUAACUAUGGAUUUAGGACACGUUUACAAGGUAACUGGUUUGCUCAUGUUUGGCCAUGUUAAUGGGUAAUGGUAGGUCUAACAAAGAAUUUAACACCAUUAGACCUUUUUCAGGUUCUUGUAGGCAUAGAACUUUAGGGCAAUUUGAUGGAAAACAGGAACGUCUUGUUUUGGUUUCAGGAUGUGAGUGUGGUGCGGCCUAAGAAUAACCAGAGGCAUCACCGCAUAUGAUCACUUUAAUUAAGCAAGUUCUUCCUGUGCCAGAAACUUCCAAUAUUGUCACAGACAUAAUAUCCACAGGGAAAUUGAAUAUUUUUUUUUAUAAUUGAGCACCAACAGCAGCAUUUGAAACAUCACAAUGGCAGCCAAGUUUAUGGCCAUUAUAUCCCCUCAACAACAAAACAAAUAUUUAAUUUAGAAAAUGGUAUCCUUUUAACACCAUUUCAGUUUAAGUACGUACGACCCAGGCAAGAAAUAUCACAUGGCUGUCUAUAUAUAUAUAUAUAUAUAUAUAGACAGCCAUGUACAGGGCUAGGGCUGGAACAUCCACAAAUCAGUAACAAUAAGAUGGAAAUCCAAUGCUUAUAAAGCGUAAUAACCAUUAGCAUAUGUAAAUGUAAAAUUUAAUCCAAGGCCUUUAUUGGAGCGAGGGAGUUUAUCUUUCUGAUGCUGUCAAUAACUUCGUUAUAAUGAUAAUUUAAUGAAUUUCAUUAUAAUAAUGAGUUGUUUUACACAUAUGGGAAAAUGUAAAAGAGAAAACUGAAAAAUGGUUUUAAAGGUUUAUGGCCCAACCUGCCUGACACUACUUUGUUUGAAGGUCAGCAGGAAAACCAGAUGAGCAAGAAUCGGAGCAAGAAUUUGUCCCCUAGAGAUUCCCUUCACCCCUGGUGGGGGUCUAGGCAGGUGAAGCUUAUUGUUAUAACAGGAAGAUGGUGUCCUCCCUUGUGCCAAAAGAUUGACCUGUCCAGAACACUCGGGGGGAAUUUUGGUUUUGUAGUCUGCCCCCACAAAAUUACUUAAAUUAUGUAAAUUCAAAUGAUGUAAUAAAGCUGUAACCCCACUAUUUUUUUUUA